UACGGGGGGAGCAAGCGUUGUUCGGAUUUACUGGGCGUAAAGGGCGCGUAGGCGGCCACCGCAAGUCGGUUGUGAAAUCUCUGGGCUUAACCCAGAAAGGUCAACCGAUACUGCGGGGCUAGAGUGCAGAAGGGGCAACUGGAAUUCUCGGUGUAGCGGUGAAAUGCGUAGAUAUCGAGAGGAACACCUGCGGCGAAGGCGGGUUGCUGGGCUGACACUGACGCUGAAGCGCGAAGGCUAGGGGAGCGAACGGG
rnacentral:rRNA from 1 species